rnacentral:rRNA from 1 species
UACGUAGGGUGCUAGCGUUGUUCGGAAUCAUUGGGCGUAAAGCGCGUGUAGGUUGCUAUGUAAGUCGAAUGUGAAAUCCCUGGGCUCAACCGAGGAAGUGCAUUCGAAACUACAUAGCUCGAGAACGGUAGAGGAAGGUGGCAUUCCAAGUGUAGAGGUGAAAUUCGUAGAUAUUUGGAGGAAUACCGGUGGCGAAGGCGGCCUUCUGGGCCGGUUCUGACACUGAGACGCGAAAGCGUGGGUAGCAAACAGG